rnacentral:tRNA from 1 species
GCGCCUGUAGCUCAGCUGGAUAGAGCAACGGCCUUCUAAGCCGUGGGUCGCAGGUUCGAGUCCUGCCGGGCGCG